rnacentral:misc_RNA from 1 species
AAGGAUCAUUACCGAGUUAGGGUCUUCUGGGCCCGACCUCCUACCCUCUGUCUACCUUACCAUUUGUUGCUUCGGCGGAUCCGUCCUCUAGGGGACCGCCGGAGGGUUCACCCCCUCUGGCCCGCGUCCGUCGGUAGCCCACCAAAACUCUUGUUCAAAACGUGUCGUCUAAGCAAAAAAUCAAAUAAGUAAAAACUUUCAACAACGGAUCUCUUGGUUCUG